rnacentral:rRNA from 1 species
AUUGAACGCUGGCGGCAUGCCUUACACAUGCAAGUCGAACGGUAACAGGUCUUCGGAUGCUGACGAGUGGCGAACGGGUGAGUAAUACAUCGGAACGUGCCCGAUCGUGGGGGAUAACGCAGCGAAAGCUGUGCUAAUACCGCAUACGAUCUACGGAUGAAGCGGGGGAUUGCAAGAACCCGCGCGGACGGAGCGGCCGAUGGCAGAUUAGGUAGUUGGUGGGAUAAAAGCUUACCAAGCCGACGAUCUGUAGCUGGUCUGAGAGGACGACCAGCCACACUGGGACUGAGACACGGCCCAGACUCCUACGGGAGGCAGCAGUGGGGAAUUUUGGACAAUGGGCGCAAGCCUGAUCCAGCCAUGCCGCGUGCAGGAUGAAGGCCUUCGGGUUGUAAACUGCUUUUGUACGGAACGAAAAAGCUCUCUCUAAUACAGGGGGUGAAUGACGGUACCGUAAGAAUAAGCACCGGCUAACUACGUG